rnacentral:rRNA from 1 species
UGUGUAAGUAACUAUGCACGUCUUGACGGUACCUAAUCAGAAAGCCACGGCUAACUACGUGCCAGCAGCCGCGGUAAUACGUAGGUGGCAAGCGUUAUCCGGAAUUAUUGGGCGUAAAGCGCGCGUAGGCGGUUUCUUAAGUCUGAUGUGAAAGCCCACGGCUCAACCGUGGAGGGUCAUUGGAAACUGGGAAACUUGAGUGCAGAAGAGGAAAGUGGAAUUCCAUGUGUAGCGGUGAAAUGCGCAGAGAUAUGGAGGAACACCAGUGGCGAAGGCGACUUUCUGGUCUGUAACUGACGCUGAUGUGCGAAAGCGUGGGGAUCAAACAGGAUUAGAUACCCUGGUAGUCCACGCCGUAAACGAUGAGUGCUAAGUGUUAGGGGGUUUCCGCCCCUUAGUGCUGCAGCUAACGCAUUAAGCACUCCGCCUGGGGAGUACGACCGCAAGGUUGAAACUCAAAGGAAUUGACGGGGACCCGCACA